GCGGUGGAGGCGGGGCGCCAACCACAACCACAACCACCACUACGACGACGACCACCACCACCACGACCACCACCACGCCCAGCACCACCACACAGACAACCACUACUACUGUAGCCACAUUGCAAGGACAACGUUUGGGCAGUAAUUACGUCCGGGCGUCUCGUUUACCUCCAUCGUGUUAUAACUCACCACCACCCGUCACGGCCUUGAGAACAUACAACGUCAGGUCUGUGGUGGAAUGUGCUACACGCUGUGAGCAGCGCUCACUCUCCAAUUGCAAACACAUCACAGUAAACAACGGCUUGUGUAGUUUGUACACCGAGCUCUCUUGUCCAUGUACAACAAAGAGGUACGAUCGAAGGGACUGACACUGACAAAAGGAACAACAAAAACAAACGCCACUCAAGCCCCAUGACGUCACAUCCGUCGGAUUGGUUAUGUACAGAAGAAUCUCACCACAGACAAAACAACGCUGAAGAGAAGAACAAAUUAUCCAAGGAAGUGUUUUCUUCUCUUCUUGUUGUUGAUUUCGUAGCUGGAACAUGACGUAUUCAGCGUUUGGAUUUUAUGUUCUUUUUUUUUGUUGUUGCUCGAUUUCGAAGCUAGUACAACAUGUAUUGAGCAUUAGGAUUUUAUUAUUCUCUCUCUCUCUCUCUCUCUCUCUCUCUCUCUCUCUCUCUCUCUCUCUCUCUCCCUCUCUCUCUCUUUCUCUCUCUCUCCAUGUACACGCAUAUAUAAGAAUCUAUAAGACUGUCUUGGCAGGCAUUUGCUUGCUGGCUACAAACGUGUUAUGGGCAACGAAACAAACAGGGGAGAGAACAAAAGAGAAUUCUGAUUUUUCAUGAUCAAUCUUUUCCAAGCUUGUGCGUGGCAGGUUUUGUCCGACAGUCUUUUGUUAUAGACCUGGUGCUAUGGAGCUGAUCAGCAGGACUGAAAAGAGAAAGUAAUGGGAUAUCCUAGCAUGAUCGCCAAUGUCGGCGUCAGACCUGACAUGUAAA